UCAUUCAAACUUCCAACUGAUCAAAGCCCAGACAGGAAAAGGAAGGAAAAAACAAAAAAAUCCCUAGACAGAAAAAUGGCCAACAAGCUGGUUUCAGUCUUUCUCAUGUGCAUCGUGGUCAUGGCAACACUGCACAUUCGCCAGGCCGUGGCCGACGAUGGUUACAAGACAUGUUACGAGCCCUGCGAUGAAGAAUGCAAAUCCGAAGGCAACGGCGACACCUUCUGUGAAAUGAAGUGCGACACCGACUGCCUCGCGAAGGUUGCUGCUGCAAAACUCAACGCCUUCAAGCCCUGAGGGAAGAGGAAGGGUGGAGCAGAGCAUGGCACAUGCAAUAACACAGAAUAAGAGCUGUUGUGGAAUAAUUUCGGAAACUUUGUUUCAGACAUUGUAAUAAAAUUGAUUUUCAUGAUUGUGAAUGUGGAUGAUGUUGUUUCUGCAAUUAAUAUAAUUUCUGCCGCUUUCAUUAUGUUGGUGGCUCGGGUUUGAAAUCA